GUGUGUGCGUACGACCAGGAGGGGCUCCAAGGAGCCAAACCCUAGCUUGAUCAAUACCUUCAAAUUGGAGGAUCAAUUCAAGACCAAAUCAAUGCAUGAACGCGUAUAAACGAUCACCGAGUCAAGAGGAUCGAAAGGUGGAGGCUUGGGAAAGAAGCGGUCAAACGAAUCAAGCACGAGAAGAAAAAGCGUAUUCGGGUGCGAGGAGUAAAUGUGAAAUGGGUAUUAGCAACGCCAUGGAUUAGCGGUUAUAAAAGCAAGGUAUUAAAAACGGGUUGAUAUAUUGACCCGCGC